AUGUUUUGUUCUUCUCCUUCUCCGAUUUUCCCAAUCUCCCCGCCUUAUGAUUCAACCCCCCUUUAUGUUAAUCCACCAUUGAAGUUCCUUCCCUCGAUUCUUCCUUACAUCGUCUCCUCAAAUCCAAACAAAACUAAGAAAAAGCUAGGAAGUUCGUGGAGAAAUGAGGGAGAUUUAGGCUUACUGACCGGAGGUUUUUAG